UACAGAGGUCUCAAGCGUUGUUCGGAUUCAUUGGGCGUAAAGGGUGCGUAGGUGGCAGGGUAAGUCGGAUGUGAAAUCCCGGGGCUCAACCUCGGAACUGCAUUCGAUACUGCUUUGCUUGAGUACUGGAGAGGAGAUUGGAAUUUACGGUGUAGCAGUGAAAUGCGUAGAUAUCGUAAGGAAGACCAGCGGCGAAGGCGGAUCUCUGGACAGUUACUGACACUGAGGCACGAAGGCCAGGGGAGCAAACGGG
rnacentral:rRNA from 1 species